UACGUAGGGGGCAAGCGUUGUCCGGAAUUAUUGGGCGUAAAGCGCGCGCAGGCGGCUAUUUAAGUCUGGUGUUUAAACCUUGGGCUCAACCUGGGGACGCACUGGAAACUGGAUGGCUUGAGUACAGAAGAGGAAAGUGGAAUUCCACGUGUAGCGGUGAAAUGCGUAGAGAUGUGGAGGAACACCAGUGGCGAAGGCGACUUUCUGGGCUGUAACUGACGCUGAGGCGCGAAAGCGUGGGGAGCAAACAGG
rnacentral:rRNA from 1 species